AGCAGCCGCGGUAAUUCCAGCUCCAAUAGCGUAUAUUAAAGUUGUUGCAGUUAAAAAGCUCGUAGUUGAAUUUCGGGAUCAAUAUGUUGGUCGUGCCUCGGUACGUACUAGCAUAUUGGUUUCUCCUUUCUGAAGAACCUUGAUGUCAUUAAUUUGGUGUCUUGGGGAAUCAGGACUGUUACUUUGAAAAAUUAGAGUGUUUAAAGCAGGCUCGCGCUUGAAUACAUUAGCAUGGAAUAAUGAAAUAGGACGUCUGAUUCUAUUUUGUUGGUUUCUAGGAUCGACGUAAUGAUUAAUAGGGAUAGUUGGGGGCAUUAGUAUUCAAUUGUCAGAGGUGAAAUUCUUGGAUUUAUUGAAGACUAACUACUGCGAAAGCAUUUGCCAAGGAUGUUUUCAUUAAUCAAGAACGAAAGUUAGGGGAUCGAAGACGAUCAGAUACCGUCGUAGUCUUAACCAUAAACUAUGCC
rnacentral:misc_RNA from 1 species